UGGGGGAUAUUGCGCAAUGGGGGCAACCCUGACGCAGCAACGCCGCGUGAAGGAUGAAGGUUUUCGGAUUGUAAACUUCUUUUAUUAAGGACGAAAAUUGACGGUACUUAAUGAAUAAGCUCCGGCUAACUACGUGCCAGCAGCCGCGGUAAUACGUAGGGAGCGAGCGUUGUCCGGAUUUACUGGGUGUAAAGGGUGCGUAGGCGGCUUUGCAAGUCAGAUGUGAAAUCUAUGGGCUUAACCCAUAAACUGCAUUUGAAACUGUAUCUCUUGAGUGUCGGAGAGGUAGACGGAAUUCCUAGUGUAGCGGUGAAAUGCGUAGAUAUUAGGAGGAACACCAGUGGCGAAGGCGGUCUACUGGACGAUAACUGACGCUGAGGCGCGAAAGCGUGGGGAGCAAACAGGAUUAGAUACCCUGGUAGU
rnacentral:rRNA from 1 species